GAUGAACGCUGGCGGCGUGCCUAACACAUGCAAGUCGAACGAAGCACUUGAGCUUGCUUGAGUGACUUAGUGGCGGACGGGUGAGUAAUGUGUGAGCAACCUGCCCUGGAGUGGGGGACAACAGUUGGAAACGACUGCUAAUACCGCAUGAUGUUCAAAGGAGGCAUCUCUUUUGAACCAAAGAUUUAUUGCUCUGGGAUGGGCUCACAUCUGAUUAGUUUGUUGGUGAGGUAACGGCCCACCAUGGCGACGAUCAGUAGCCGGUCUGAGAGGAUGAACGGCCACAUUGGGACUGAGAUACGGCCCAGACUCCUACGGGAGGCAGCAGUGGGGAAUAUUGGGCAAUGGGGGAAACCCUGACCCAGCAACGCCGCGUGAAGGAAGAAGGCUUUCGGGUUGUAAACUUCUUUUGUCAGGGAAGAGUAGAAGACUGUACCUGGCGAAUAAGCCACGGCUAACUACGUG
rnacentral:rRNA from 1 species